CCAGACUAUUCAUGGCCACAGUGGACCCAUAACAGCAGUGUCCUUUGCUCCUGAUGGAAGGUAUCUAGCCACAUAUUCCAAUGCUGACAGCCACAUUUCCUUCUGGCAGAUGAACACUUCACUACUGGGCAGUAUUGGUAUGCUGAACUCUGCGCCCCAGCUCCGAUGUAUGAAAACAUACCAGGUGCCCCCUGUUCAUCCUGCUUCUCCUGGUUCACAGAAUGCAUUGAAACUAGCACGUCUGAUCUGGACCUCCAACCGUAAUGUCAUCCUUAUGGCACAUGAUGGGAAGGAACACCGAUUUAUGGUUUGAAGACACCACCUGAAUUACAUGAAACGUACUAAAGAAAUAAAAUUGUGUGUACUGUUUGCAAAGCUGGUUAAUGUUUACAUUAAGAUAUUAUUGUGUAGAUUUUUUCAUAAAAGUUUAUCAUAAUUUGCAAUGUCAACUUUCUGUGGGUUUUUGAAAAGAGAUGAAAUAGCUGCCCAACAGUCGUACCCGAUUGCUUAUUGUUUAUAUCCACCAUUGUUAGCUUCAACUCAGUUUUGUUGUGGUUACAAAGCAUUUCUUCUAUCUUGCUAUUGAUAGAAGUCAAAAAAUUGCAAUUGCUUGUAUGAUGCGUGUCUCAUGCCUUACACCAAAAACUGGGCUCUCCUGCAGCUGUCCUAAGAAAACAGUGUAAGAUAGGAAGGACAAAAGUCAUGUUUUGUCACCAGCAGCAGUUGGACUGAAGAGGACAGUUUCUAAGAGUCUCAAAAUGGUGCAGUGGCUUUCAUUUCAAGGGUUUAAACUUAAAUAACACAGGGCUAAUGGAAUAAGAGACCCAAUAUGAAAUGAGUUGGUAAAAUUUCAACCCAGCCUCUAGUAAUAGUGGAAGACAGCAUGAUGCUGUUCUAACUAGCACUCAAAAAGAUCUAAUAAAGGCUACUCGGGUAGUGGCAAAGGACUUACAGAUGCAGUACAAUUCAUUUUUCUGAAAUUGGAGAAAAAACAGGAAGCAUUAGUCUACAUUUAAUAAUACUAUACCCAAUAUAAACUGUAGGAGUUUUUGUUACAGAUAUUGGGCAACCAAUGGAAUUUUAUUUCAUUUCCAACAACUACUGCUGAAUAGAGGAUUAGACAAUUUGACUUGAUCUCAUGUCUUUUUCUCAAACAAGUUUCUCCUUUUUCAAUUAUCUAGUACCUCAGUUAAGGAGCUUAGUUCAUUGAUUUUGAAGUUCUUAAUUUUUGUCUCAACACUGCCAGUCCCUGACAACACCUUAAUGAAUUUUCCAUCCAGUUCACAAGUUUUUAUCAUCCUGCUGGCAGUGAAAGUUUUCAGGUUUUAUUUUUAUGCGGUAACAUGAGUAACCAGCAUAAGGUACAGAAUGCAGAAGUAAAUCUCCUCUGCCAUUGAAUUUGAAGCAAUUUCCAGUCAUUUGGUGCAUGUAUCAUAUGAAAUUUAAAACCCGCAACAGAUGUUCUGUUCAAUGGACAGUUGAAUCCUCUUCAGUUCUACGAAGAUCGUUAUGACCAUUUUAAUCAUCAGUUACAGGCAGAAAAUGUUUACAAUAGCUUUCAAAAACUAAAAACUGGGACCACUUUAGCUUGCUUUCUCGCAUUUUUAUUUUAAAAUAAAUUAAAUUCAGUAUGGUAAAACUUUACAGCUGCACACAAUCCCUGUUAUAUAUGCCUAACUAAUGCAUACGAGGAACUGAUGUAAAGGGUAGAGUAUGCCUUAAUGAAUUUAUAGGUUUGGACAAGUUUGCAUGUCACUGAUACAUAGAAUACUUAUUGUUGGAAAUCCUAUUGGAUGCCUUGGAAAGGUGUUGCAAAGAUCUUUUGUGCAAUGCAUUUUGUAUGAAGAAAUCAUAGCAUUCCAGCUUCUUGAAAUAUUUGGCCUGUUUCACCAGUUCAAAACUAAAUCAUUAGUAGAUUCGUACUCUUACUAGCAGCAGAGUUAGUCACCCUUACGUAUUUUUAAAAUCCUGUUAAGGCAAGUAUGUCAACAGCAUUUUUCCCCCAGUUAAAUCUAUGUAUAUUAUUGAAUCACCUGCACAGAUACAACAAAAUCCUGAUUAAUGAAUAUCUGAACAUAAAAAAUCGGCAGAUUUAGCUGUUUGGAAGGGGUUCAUGCAAGGCUGCUAUGGUGCCCUAGUAUAUAACAGUGACUUUUCUUAAAUCUGACCUACUUCAAAUAUACAGUGCUGAGAAGAAUGCUUCUGAAUGCUAUAUUUGGUAAAUAAGUAUCUAAAAUACUUUCAAAUCUAGUUCAAAUAUAUAUUUUGUUAAAUUUAGGAAAAAUUAUCUCUAAACCUGCUAAAGCCAUAAUGAUAAAAAUGCAAAACCUUGUCCUUUGCAGAGGUCAUGUGAUAUUGAAGAUGCCUGUAAUUUGAACUAGAUGUCAUAAAGAGUAUGGUUUGGGCAAAACUGUCGCUUGUCUAUUCACUUAACAGGAAUUUAUGACUGAAAGGAUUAUUAAAUAACUGAAUACAGUGGGUGGAUGCAUAACCCUUCUGUGCUAAUAAAAACCUUUUAUUUAUCAGAAAUUCAUUCAAGGGCAAAAGGCUAAGUUAAUUUUUUUAAUGAAGGAGAAAAUUACCUUUAUUAAUUCCAGGCAAAAUGUUCAGUAUUUCUUCCAAAUAACUACCCCCUCUUAAGUUUCUUCUGACAGAUGGUUCUUUUUCAUAGUGAUUUAAUAUUUAUACUUCAUGGCUUUAAAUGUGUAUUGAGAAGGUUUUGUCAUAUUGUGCAUUGUGGGUUCCACUGUUCUGCUCAUGUACAAAAUUAAUUUGCAAGCGUCUUUGAUUACCAGAUCCAAAAUCACACCAUUUUACAGAACAAGAGGAAGGUUAUUCUUUCCUGUCUGCCUUUUUGUCAUAUCAAUGGUAUUUGUUUCUUUUUUAAAGAAAUUAUCCAAUUCAUUUUUUAAAAAAAUUACGAUGACUCCUGCUCCCAUCACAAUUGCUCAGAACAGCCUAUAUCCUAAAGAUCUUUUGCAAAUAAAGAAAAUUCUGUCAA